rnacentral:rRNA from 1 species
AACGGGAUUCCCUAGUAGCGGCGAGCGAAGCGGGAAGAGCUCAAAUUUAUAAUCUGGCACCUUCGGUGUCCGAGUUGUAAUCUCUAGAAAUGUUUUCCGCGUUGGACCGCACACAAGUCUGUUGGAAUACAGCGGCAUAGUGGUGAGACCCCCGUAUAUGGUGCGGACGCCCAGCGCUUUGUGAUACAUUUUCGAAGAGUCGAGUUGUUUGGGAAUGCAGCUCAAAUUGGGUGGUAAAUUCCAUCUAAAGCUAAAUAUUGGCGAGAGACCGAUAGCGAACAAGUACCGUGAGGGAAAGAUGAAAAGCACUUUGGAAAGAGAGUUAACAGUACGUGAAAUUGUUGGAAGGGAAACGCUUGAAGUCAGACUUGCUUGCCGAGCAAUCGGUUUGCAGGCCAGCAUCAGUUUUCCGGGAUGGAU